CUGCUGCCUUCCGUAGGAGUCUGGGCCGUAUCUCAGUCCCAAUGUGGCCGAUCGACCUCUCAGUCCGGCUACCCAUCGUCGGCUAGGUGGGCCUCUACCCCGCCUACUACCUAAUGGGCCGCGACCCCAUCCCGCGCCGUCGGGGCUUUCCCGCCGCCCCCAUGCGGGGGCCGCGGAGUAUCCGGUAUUAGCCGCCGUUUCCAGCGGUUGUCCCGGAGCGCGGGGCAGGUUGGUCACGUGUUACUCACCCGUUCGCCACUGUAUGUCCGCCCGAGGGCGGUUUAACCG
rnacentral:rRNA from 1 species